CUGCUAGCUCCGGCUGCACAUGUACCAAAAUUGGAGCGAUGCAAAGAUUAGCGUGGCCCCUCCACAAGGGUGACACGCAGAGGCGUCCCAGAUUUGG
rnacentral:snRNA from 1 species